rnacentral:rRNA from 1 species
AGAGUUUGAUCCUGGCUCAGAACAAACGCUGGCGGCGUGCCUAAUACAUGCAAGUCGAACGGGGAAAGUAGCAAUACGAGUACUAAUGGCGCACGGGUGAGGAAUACAUGGGUAAUCUGCCCUCGAGCUCGGGAUAACCAGUCGAAAGACUGGCUAAUACCGGAUACGGUCUACGGACGAAAGAUUUAUCGCCGAAGGAUUAGCCCGCGUUGGAUUAGGUAGUUGGUGGGGUAAUGGCCUACCAAGCCGACGAUCCAUAGCUGGUUUGAGAGGAUGAUCAGCCACACUGGGACUGAGACACGGCCCAGACUCCUACGGGAGGCAGCAGUGGGGAAUCUUAGACAAUGGGGGAAACCCUGAUCUAGCCAUGCCGCGUGAGCGAUGAAGGCCUUAGGGUUGUAAAGCUCUUUCAGCUGGGAAGAUAAUGACUGUACCAGCAGAAGAAGCCCCGGCUAACUCCGUG